GGAGAUGAGGGGGGAGGCAGGGCCUGGGGGUGCCCGGCCCAGCCCCUGUGCCCCCAGUCCCAGGCGCCCAUCCAGGGAGGCUGGAGGGCCUGGGCCCCGGCCAGAGCACACCAUGAUCACGGUUGCAGAUUGGGCUGGGUUCAAGGAUGGGGAUAGAGACAGUCCAGGCUUCCCACGUCCGCUGACCUCCAGAAGCACACUGAGUCGGACACACGUUGGAUAAAGCUCAGGCAUCGCGGAAUUCGCAUCCCUGUUUCUAGAACUCAACGUCCAAAGGGAUUCAGGCAGCCCGCAGAUCUGAAGCCCCAGCCCGCACCUCUGCAGACUGGAUAUCCCACCAGCCUCAGAUACCGCCUCACCUCAACACACCCAGGAGUUUCCGUCAUGGCUCAGCAGUAACGAACCCAACUAGUAUCCAUGAGGACGCGGGUUCCAUCCCUGGCCUUGAUCAAUGGUUCAAGGAUCUAGCGUUGCUGUGAGCUGUGGUGUAGGUCGA